CUGCCGCGUGAGUGAUGAAGGCCUUAGGGUUGUAAACCUCUUUCCCAGGGACGAAGCGCAAGUGACGGUACCUGGAGAAGAAGCACCGGCCAACUACGUGCCAGCAGCCGCGGUAAUACGUAGGGUGCGAGCGUUGUCCGGAAUUACUGGGCGUAAAGAGCUCGUAGGCGGUUUGUCGCGUCGUCUGUGAAAUUCUGCAACUCAAUUGUAGGCGUGCAGGCGAUACGGGCAGACUUGAGUACUACAGGGGAGACUGGAAUUCCUGGUGUAGCGGUGAAAUGCGCAGAUAUCAGGAGGAACACCGGUGGCGAAGGCGGGUCUCUGGGUAGUAACUGACGCUGAGGAGCGAAAGCGUGGGUAGCGAACAGGAUUAGAUACCCUGGUAGUCCACGCCGUAAACGGUGGGUACUAGGUGUGGGGCCCAUUUCACGAGUUCCGUGCCGUAGCUAACGCAUUAAGUACCCCGCCUGGGGAGUACGGCCGCAAGGCUAAAACUCAAAGGAAUUGACGGA
rnacentral:rRNA from 1 species